CCUCUCCUCUGCGCCGAUGUCUCUUUUCUUCACCCGAUCGUUUCUUCUCCCCACCCAUCUCCUCUCUUCUCAUCGCCACCCAACGACACCGAUCAUCCUCCUCGCACUGUCGUCCACCACCAUGGCUUGACACCGGACGCUGACCGCUGCACACUGCUGCUCUCCCAAUCUCCCUUCUCCUUUCUUCCUCUCUGCUCCUCAUCACCUCCGCGAGGCUUUCUUUGAUCUCGUCGGCGUCGAGCUCUUUUCAACCUAGCCGCUGGUUGUGGGAGAGCACGCCACUGCCUCUCCUACCUCCCGAAUACGUUGAGGCAUUGUUUCACCGCGCAAUCAACCAGAUCCUCUCUGCCCUAGAUGCGGUCAGCAUCAUUGCGCCAUCGUCGUCACUAGGGUUAAGCCGCUGGGCUCCCCUCAGCCUUGAUCUUGCUCCACCUUUCUACCCCUCUCGUGCUCUAUCUGCGCUACUUUGAUCACCACUGUGUGUUUUCAUCUUCGACGCCAUCCCCUCCAGCGUGCGCAGUUGACAGCCAGGGUCAGCCACUGCCAACGUUGAGCCCUUCUCCUUGCGAGCAACCACCUUGCUCUUUUCUCCACCCACGAGAGGUUGUGGGUUGCAGAUCUGAUCUGUAGCAUUUCAGAAUUUGUUGAGUUUCAGCUAGCAAGCAUUGAUUUGUGGUAUUUGUGAUAGAGGCAGCAACUACACUCGACUUCCACUGUAAUUCUUGGCAUCCAACAUCUUCGGCUUUGGAUCAACAAUGAUGCAUCCAAAUUUAAGUGAGUUUUGAGGUUAGCGCAUAGAUAUGUUGUGUUGCUUGGAGUAUCCUGUCUGUCGGUCACACGUCACAUCCGAAGACUGUUUUCAGUUUCAUUUAUGUUUUGUCUAGUUUAUGUAUUUGGUGGAUUUAUCAUUGUAUAUUCCGGUUUUGGUUCUGGAGUGUUGCUACGUGGUAUCGGAUAUUGUUUUGUUGUGUUGUAUAAGCCUAGCCGACUAGUAGUCUUUGUUGUUUUGGUUUGUAUAGGCUAUCUUUCGUUUUAGUUUUUCCACUGUGUGUUUUGAGUACAGCCGAGUGGGUUGUUUAAUAUAUAUAACUGCAUGGUUGUGAUA